rnacentral:rRNA from 1 species
AACGAACGCUGGCGGCAGGCCUAACACAUGCAAGUCGAACGAAGUCUUCGGACUUAGUGGCGCACGGGUGAGUAACACGUGGGAAUAUACCUUUCGGUGGGGAAUAACAUCGGGAAACUGAUGCUAAUACCGCAUACGCCCUUCGGGGGAAAGAUUUAUCGCCGAAAGAUUAGCCCGCGUCCGAUUAGGUAGUUGGUGAGGUAACGGCUCACCAAGCCUGCGAUCGGUAGCUGGUCUGAGAGGAUGAUCAGCCACACUGGGACUGAGACACGGCCCAGACUCCUACGGGAGGCAGCAGUGGGGAAUAUUGGACAAUGGGCGCAAGCCUGAUCCAGCCAUGCCGCGUGAGUGAUGAAGGCCUUAGGGUUGUAAAGCUCUUUCGACGGGGACGAUGAUGACGGUACCCGUAGAAGAAGCCCCGGCUAACUUCGUGCCAGCCGCCGCCGUAA